CAGCCGCCGCGGGAAUACGAAGGGUGCAAGCGUUACUCGGAAUUACUGGGCGUAAAGCGUGCGUAGGUGGUGGUAUAAGUCCGUUGUGAAAGCCCUGGGCUCAACCUGGGAAUUGAAGUGGAUACUGGGUCACUAGAGUGUGGUAGAGGAUAGUGGAAUUUCCGGUGUAGCAGUGAAAUGCGUAGAGAUCGGAAGGAACAUCUGUGGCGAAGGCGACUAUCUGGGCCAACACUGACACUGAGGCACGAAAGCGUGGGGAGCAAACAGGAUUAGAUACCCGAGUAGUCCCUGUCUCUUAUAC
rnacentral:rRNA from 1 species